rnacentral:rRNA from 1 species
CUACGGGCGGCACCAGUAAGGAAUAUUGCGCAAUGGAGGCAACUCUGACGCAGCCAUGCCGCGUGCAGGAAGAAGGCCUUAUGGGUCGUAAACUGCUUUUAUUUAGGAAUAAACCCCCGAACGUGUUCGGGGCUGAAGGUACUAAACGAAUAAGCACCGGCUAACUCCGUGCCAGCAGCCGCGGUAAUACGGAGGGUGCAAGCGUUAUCCGGAUUUAUUGGGUUUAAAGGGUGCGCAGGCGGGCUAUUAAGUCAGUGGUGAAAUCCCGGGGCUCAACUCCGGAACUGCCAUUGAUACUGAUAGUCUUGAGUUUGGUUGAAGUGGGCGGAAUGUAGCAUGUAGAGGUGAAAUGCAUAGAUAUGCUACAGAACACCAAUCGCGAAGGCAGCUCACUAAGCCAAAACUGACGCUCAUGCACGAAAGCGUGGGGAUCAAACAGGAUUAGAUACCCUCGUAGUC